GAUGAAGAACGCAGCGAAAUGCGAUAAGUAAUGCGAAUUGCAGAAUCCGUGAGUCAUCGAAUCUUUGAACGCACAUUGCGCCCGCCAGUAUUCUGGCGGGCAUGCCUGUUCGAGCGUCAUUUCAACCAUCAAGCCCCCGGCUUGUGUUGGGGACCUGCGGCUGCCGCAGGCCCUGAAAACCAGUGGCGGGCUCGCUAGUCACUCCGAGCGUAGUAAUACAUCUCGCUCAGGGCGUGCUGCGGGUUCCGGCCGUUAAAAAGCCUUAUUUACCCAAGGUUGACCUCGGAUCAGGUAGGAAGACCCGCUGAACUUAAGCAUAUCAAUAAGCGGAGGA
rnacentral:misc_RNA from 1 species